UUUAAAAUAUGUUUAAAAAUUUCCAUGGAAAUUCAUUUAUAGAGAAAGGUGUUAUUUUCUCUUAUGCUUUUGAAAUAUUUCAUCUGAACGGGACACUGUCUAGAGGAUGUGAGACAUGAAAAAAAGAAAACAAUUUCUUUUGGGACUUCUAAUUUCUCAGUGGCUAAAUAUUUUAUCCUGGAAUGCCUGUGCAGUCAAACUAAUGUCAAGACUUCCGAAGUGAGCUCCCAAGUCCUCCGAACGUGCCAGGUUAUUUGGUAAAACCAGAACAGCAGUUUACAGAGGAUUUCCUCUUCCUGAAUCAUCGCCAACUGGUCUGCGGAAAUACUUAUAAAAACCUUUUGUCAAGUGGCCUUCUCAUAAUUUUGAAAGUAUUUUCAGCAAGUUCUUCAGAUGACAUUUCUGAACCAUCUACAAGUCUUUCAACAAGCAUUGUCAGCAGAAGAAAGGCUAAAGUUUCAGAAUUUGUUCCCAGGAUCUGGAGUUUAUCAUGUCUUAUGCACAGAAAAUACAGUACCUACCAUAUUUACUGCA